rnacentral:sRNA from 1 species
GCCAGGCGUGGUGGUGCACGCCUGUAAUCCCAGCUACUCGGGAGGCUGAGGCAAGAGAAUCACUUGAACUCAGGAGGCAGAGGUUCCAGUGAGCUGAGAUCACGCCACUGCACUCCAGCCUGGGUGACAGAGUGAGACCCUGUCUCAA